UACGAAGGGGGCUAGCGUUGUUCGGAUUUACUGGGCGUAAAGCGCACGUAGGCGGAUCGUUAAGUCGGGGGUGAAAUCCUGGAGCUCAACUCCAGAACUGCCUUCGAUACUGGCGAUCUCGAGUCCGGAAGAGGUGAGUGGAAUUCCUGGUGUAGCGGUGAAAUGCGCAGAUAUCAGGAGGAACACCAAUGGCGAAGGCAGCUCGCUGGGACGGUACUGACGCUGAGACGCGAAAGCGUGGGGAGCAAACAGG
rnacentral:rRNA from 1 species